GUAAACGGUACUUAUAAUACAAUAUAAACAUAGAAAUUGCUCGUGAUAACAUUCCAUUUGCAGUACAAUAGGAAGUAAAAACUUAAGCCUUAGACGAAUUGAAUACCUACACAAAAGGGCACUGAAUAACCAUCUCUGGUUUCAAUACAAAAAUCUAUUACUAGUAAUGAAUCCAGAGUAGUCAGAUCUAAUAAGUUUUUUGUUUAGAUAAAGGAUUAAGUAGUAGUAGUAGUAGUAGUAUAUUUAGGCCUAAUAACAAGUAAUGAAAACCAAAACAAUUAAGUAGAGUACUAGAAUUGCUCAGCUUUCACUGGAAAUUGAGCACCCAAUCCAAGCCACGCCUUGUUUUCAGAAACUGCUGCUUGUUUAUUUGUGUUGCUUAAUUGGUACGGUGCUUUUGCAGUCAGCCUAUCUUUUCUUUUCUCUAAAAACCUAGUAAGUGAAGCUCGUCUCGCGAUUGGUAAAUCUCCAGAAAUAAUAGGCUGAGGUACCAAAUCUGAAGCAGAUUCAGCUGUUUUUUGAAUCUGAGUAGCACAGUUGUUGUUUCCUUUGGUACAACUAGCCAUAAGCAUGAUUUCCUUAGCUUUAUCUGCCGGAAAAUCGUUAAACACAAUAACUUGACCGCCGUAGAAUAUCGUCAUCUGUGCUUUCUCCGGUUCAGAUUUUGCCUCAGUUUGAGGAAACAGAUUCAUUGAUUUCUGAGGGUUUGACUCACCAGAUUUCUCAAUCAUUGGCAAUAAAUCCAUAGUUAGUAGUGCCUGUUGAAAAAGCAGAUAUGUUAGUUCCAUUCAAAUAACUACAAAAAUAUCUAUAAUCAAAAGGCAAAAUUCGAGAAAAAAGCUUACCGGCGCGGUGGAUACCAAGGCUGAGAUCUCCAAAGGAACCUUUCUUCUCUUUCAAGUAUUGGCUCAACAAAUUACAUGUCUGUGAGAAAUUUGAUUUCUGACCACCGGCUGCGGCGGCGGCGAAUCGACCGGAAUCCACAAUCUCCGAUGAUGCCAUUUGUAAAUAUUUUGCUUUUUCUGUCAAAAAAGACUAAAUAUUCUUCUUCUUUCUUCUAAGGUUGCAAAUGUUGAAAGUAAAGUUGAAUGAAUAUAUGGGUUAAGAGCACAUGUAUAUAUAUGACUGUUUAAAUCAAACACGGAAGAAGACGUGGUAGGGUCGGGUAGUUGAUGGGUU
rnacentral:lncRNA from 1 species